CCUACGGGAGGCAGCAGUAAGGAAUCUUCCACAAUGGACGAAAGUCUGAUGGAGCAACGCCGCGUGCAGGAUGAAGGCUUUCGGGUCGUAAACUGCUUUUAUAUGGGAAGAUUAUGACGGUACCAUAUGAAUAAGGACCGGCUAACUACGUGCCAGCAGCCGCGGUAAUACGUAGGGUCCAAGCGAUAUCCGGAAUUACUGGGCGUAAAGCGUGUGUAGGUGGAUUAAUAAGUGUGAUGCGAAAUCCGGCGGCUCAACCGUUUGGACUGUGUCGCAUACUGUUAGUCUAGAGGACGGCAGAGGUAAGUGGAAUUACGGGUGUAGCAGUGAAAUGCGUAGAUAUCCGUAGGAACACCAAUGGCGAAGGCAGCUUACUGGGCCACACCUGACACUGAGACACGAAAGCGUGGGGAGCGAACAGGAUUAGAUACCCUGGUAGUCCACGCCGUAAACGAUGCAUACUAUUAGUAUGGGGUAUCGACCCCCUGUGCUGAGAAGCUAACGCGAUAAGUAUGCCGCCUGGGGAGUCGAGCGCAAGCUAAAACUAAGAGAUACGCGNGNGAGNGCGACGACGACGACGACGGAGGAGGAG
rnacentral:rRNA from 1 species